rnacentral:rRNA from 1 species
GCUUGCACGUAGGUGGGUUUGUAAGUCAGAUGUGAAAGCCUUCUGUUCAACGGAAGAAUUGCAUCUGAAACUGCGAGUCUUGAGUGUAGGAGGGGAGAAUGGAACUUCUGGUGGAGCGGUGAAAUGCGUAGAUAUCAGAAGGAACGCCGGCGGCGAAAGCGAUUCUCUGGCCUAUUACUGACACUCAGUGUGCGAAAGCUAGGGGAGCAAACGGGAUUAGAUACCCCGGUAGUCCUAGCCGUAAACGAUGGGCACUAAGUAGAGGGAAUUACCGAUGUUCUCUCUGCCGUAGCUAACGCAUUAAGUGCCCCGCCUGGGGAGUACGGCCGCAAGGCUAAAACUCAAAAGAAUUGACGGGGGCUCGCACAAGCGGUGGAGCAUGUGGCUUAAUUCGAUGCAACGCGAAAAACCUUACCGGGGCUUGACAUGGUAGAAGUAGGAACCCGAAAGGGUAACGAGCGGUAUCCAGUCCGUAGCUAUCACAGGUGUUGCAUGGCUGUCGUCAGCUCGUGUCGUGAGACGUUGGGUUAAGUCCCCUAACGAGCGAAACCCUUGUUUUUAGUUACCAGCGGGUUGUGCCGGGUACUCUAGAAAGACUGCCGUCGUCAAGACGGAGGAAGGUGGGGAUGACGUCAAGUCAUCAUGGCCCUUAUGCCCCGGGCUGCACACGUGCUACAAUGGUCGGUACAAACGGAAGCGAAGCCGAGAGGUGAAGCGAAUCCAAGC